rnacentral:rRNA from 1 species
AGAGUUUGAUCAUGGCUCAGGAUUAACGCUGGCGGCAUGCAUAACACAUGCAAGUCAACUUUACUUGUAGCAAUACAAGUACGGUGGCGAACGGGUGAGUAACACGUGAAUGACCUGCCCAAUAGACAAGGAUAACCUCUAGAAAUGGGGGCUAAUACUUGAUACCUUUACAAAUUUAAAUGUUUGUAAAGAAAGCUUCGGCGCUAUUGGAGGGGUUCGCGGCCCAUUAGUUAGUUGGUAGGGUAAUGGCCUACCAAGACCGUGAUGGGUAGCCGGCCUGAGAGGGUGUACGGCCACAAUGGAACUGAGAUAAGGUCCUUACUCCUACGGGAGGCAGCAGUGGGGAAUAUUGCGCAAUGGACGAAAGUCUGACGCAGCAAUGCCGCGUGGAUGAUGAAGGCCUUCGGGUUGUAAAAUCCUUUUAGCAGGGAAGAAAAAAAUGACGGUACCUGCAGAAAAAGUCACGGCAAACUACGUGCCAGCAGCCGCGGUAAGACGUAGGUGGCAAGCGUUAUCCGGAAUUACUUGGGUGUAAAGGGCGUGUAGGUGGUUAUGCAAGUCUGAGGUUAAAUGUCUAAGCUUAACUUAGAACCUGCCUUGGAAACUGCAUAACUAGAGUACGGGAGAGGAAGGUGGAAUUACCAGUGUAGCGGUGAAAUGCGUAGAUAUUGGUAAGAACGCCGAUGACGAAGGUAGCCUUCUGGACCGAUACUGACACUGAGGCGCGAAAGCUAGGGGAGCAAACAGGAUUAGAUACCCUAGUAGUCC